rnacentral:miRNA from 1 species
GUCAAUUUGGCCGAGUGGUUAAGGC